rnacentral:rRNA from 1 species
CACGUAGGGUGCGAGCGUUGUCCGGAAUUAUUGGGCGUAAAGGGCUCGUAGGCGGUGUGUCGCGUCGGCCGUGAAAACCUGCAGCUUAACUGUGGGCGUGCGGUCGAUACGGGCAUCACUGGAGUUCGGCAGGGGAGACUGGAAUUCCUGGUGUAGCGGUGAAAUGCGCAGAUAUCAGGAGGAACACCGGUGGCGAAGGCGGGUCUCUGGGCCGAUACUGACGCUGAGGAGCGAAAGCGUGGGGAGCAAACAGG